UUUUUAGCAUAAAUUUGUUCCAUACAAUGUUUGGCAUAUACUUAUGCUAAAA
rnacentral:pre_miRNA from 1 species